AAAAAUAAUUAGCUAUAGGAAAAGGUAGAAAAAAAUGUGAUUUAGUUGUUCUUUUUCCUCAAAGGUUAAGUGGAAUGAGUGAAUACCCUAGACCUUCUAAAAAAAUAUCAUUUAAGUAAAUUCACCUAAAUACAACAAUAGGAGCUCAGAUGCAUGGUGUUACUGCCUAACCAUUCCUUUGACAGUCCUUAAGCAGUUAAAUGUGACCUCUUAGACUGAAUAAUACAAUUCUAUAAUCAUGUCCACAGAGCAUAAACGACAGCAUGAUCAUGUUGCAUUUGAUACAAAAGCUUUCCAGUAAAAAACAAGAAGAAAGAAAACACCUUUACUCACAACAGCAAUGAAAUUAUUGUCCUUUGCUCAUGGUUCAUAAAUUCUGUGUGACAUUUUUUUAAAAAGUAAUCUGAAGAGUCAUUGUCAUUAUAUUACACUUUUGGCUUUACUGUCACUUCAAGAGUUAAACAAAAUGCACUAAAAUUUACACUUACUUUCAAUUUGCCCAAGAUGUAUAAUUCCAUUUAUAAUUUGAAAACAAAAUUUUAGAUAGAAAACAAUGGAUGCCUUUUGCUCUUUCCUGCAAUAGCUCAUAGUAUAAUCGCUUAAGAAACACUUUAGCAAAAACAACAAUUUAAAGACCUAUAUUAAAAUCAUGCCCUCCUAUCUCUGAAAUUGAAAAUAUGUUGUUUCCUUAUGUGAUUUUUUGAGGAUAAGAACAAUUGCCAACCAUUUGUUUUUUAGAUAUCCUGGGACAGUGGAGGCCCCAAACCAGUGAUGGUAUAUAUCCAUGGUGGCUCAUACAUGGAAGGCACUGGAAAUUUAUAUGAUGGGAGUGUCCUGGCAAGCUAUGGCAAUGUGAUUGUCAUCACGGUCAACUAUCGACUGGGGGUACUAGGAAUUUAUCCAAAGCUUUUCUUCUGGUCUCCAUAAACUCUUCUGAAAAAUGAUCCAUGACACCUUUCACCACAAACUUCUCAGAAAGUGGAGUUUGUAGAGGUUUCAGUCCAUAAUCGGCUGGCUCCAAGGCAGGAUGGCAGAGGGGCAACAGUUCACCGGUGGACCAAGGUAACAAAGCAACAAGGGAUAAUAGUAUUUUGAUAUAAAUCUCAGUGGAACUGAAAAUAAGCUGUUAAUACUUUAAUUUCAUUGCUUUAACUUUAUCAGUAUCAAAUCAUGUAUUAAAAAAGCUAAAUUAAUACUAGAAUUAUAUACUUUACAUUGUGUGAAGAAUCACUGUGGUUAUAACACAACUGACUUAGUAAUUAAACUUUUAUUUUACACAUGUCUACCCAUAUUGUAUCAUUCAACCAGCUUAUAGUUGCUAACUCACAAAUUAUAAUUUUUAUUAUUUAUCCAAUAUAUGAGAUACUUUGUGGCCAACAUUUGACCAAUGUUUUAAAGCAAGAUGUAUUGUUAUUUAAAAAUUUUUAUUUUCAAAUGAAUUUUUAAAUAAAGAAUAUAGGAAAUUGCCUAAUUAUAAACUUUAAAAUGUAUUUAAAAUCUGACCUUUAACUAUUAGACCCAUUUCCUUUGUUGGUCUACCUGCUUUGUGGACACUUGGAAAUAAAGCCUUCGCCUUCUUUCUAUCACUCAAUUCAAUCCUCAGUGAGAUUUUUCUGAAUGCUCACAACAGAUCCAGAUGUACAGCAGAUUCUGGGAAGUCAGGAUGGGUCAGAGAGGACCCAGAUGAUAUUCUAGUCUGCUCAGCCAAGCUUUUAUCUCAACUGGAAAUGUUUCAGAUAUUCUCUCUGCCCAACAAACUUCUACACAUCUUUCACAAUCCAAUUAAAUUUUCAUAUCUUCUAUGAAAAUUUUCCUAAAGUUACCAGAUGAGUUAAUAGUUGUUCUCUAUUCUAGGACUACAAAAUGUGUGUGUGGAUGUUUAUGUGUAGUAUGAAAUGUAUGUAUGUAUGUGCAUGUAUGUGUCUGCAUGUGUUUCUAAAACUAUUGAUGCCUUUGGAGUUAAAGUUGACAGCCGAAAAUUUAUACUAGGAAUAAUUUGCAACAUUCCUGAGUUAUCCAUACUCAAAGGCAAUGCACAUGAAGCUUUUACUUAAAAAGCUUAAUAUUUAGGCCCUUUUAUUAGCAUACUGUCCUAUGGUUACUGUGAGUUACUGAGUUACUGAAAGGCAUGUGGUGUUCUAGCUUUGGAGAGCCAAGUAAAUUCAUAAACCAUUCAUAAAGGUUUCUGGUAAAAUUCCUAUGAAAAUCACAAAACAAAGGUAUUUGGAUCUCCAAAAUUUUAAUAUUUGUUUGUGUUUUAUUUUUUCAUUCUAGACAAAUAUUCUGUGCCAAAUCUGGUGUUUGAUGUUUUACCUUCUCUUAAAGAGGGCACCUCAAAUUGUAUAAAGUUCAGGUACUGCAGAAGUUAUAUCUUGUUUUGAAACCUUGAAGUAGACACACAGGGAGCAGAUGUGCUGGCUGAACUUAAGAUUUGUUUGUACUUAUCCCUUUCGUUCAACAGAGAGACUCUUAAGAGUUUUGCUGAGGUCCCAUAAUAAAGCCUUUGAUUUCCUUUCUUGUAUUUGAUUCAAAUGUGAUCUUCGUACGAUGAAGUUUAUGGAGGUUCAAAGACACCAUAGUAGAAAAAAGCAAACUUGUGAAAAUUGGGGAGAUGAAGAGUCAAAGUUCAAGUCUUAAACUUAGCUUUAUUGUCUGGUAUAGUGAUUACUAACCAGUUUAAAGUUUCAGAUUCUUUAAUUCUAGCUAUCCAGUAGAGUUGGGGGGGCCAGAAAUGAUUGAUGUAUAUUAAAACCUUUCAGUAUAUUGCAGCUAAUCAAAAUAAUGCAAUGACCAUUUGAACUAUUUAUCCUCUUAAAAAAACAUGUUUUGGACAAUAUGUUUUGCCAAUAUUUGCCCUCCUCUUCCAUAAUUCUAUGUGGAGCCAUGGAAUAGACUUACUUUGUGCCUUGACAGCUCUUUAAUACCAGUAACUUUUUACGUCCAAAAAGGAAGGACUGAUACAUUCCAUUUUAUUGAAAAAGACAUGACCUUUUGUCGCUCAAUGUAUUACUUUACCCUCUGAGAAUAUACCAGGAAGAAAUUUGGCAGAGGUCAUCAAAUAUUAAAAAAAAAUAAAAGAGGAUCUAGAGAAUUUCUUAGUAACAUUUCCUCUACCAAGGUGACUGUUUAUUUUGGAUAUAAGAAAAUGUGAAUGUAGGGCCAGAGAUUUAGCUCAGUGGCAAUGUGCCUGCCUUGCAAGCACAAGGUCCUGAGUUUGAUCCCUGGUACUGGAAAAAAUAAAUAAACUAAAAUCUAAAAAAAGAGAGAGAGAAGGUGAAUAUAUCCUAUCUGACCCCUCUAUUGUUUUUAAUACCCCCAAGAACACACACACACACUUCACUGAGAUUAAGGGUUCUUAGAAGUCCCUGAUAAUGGUGUCUGAGUAACUCAAAUGUCUCUUAUCUAAACCAGCUUUAUGUAUGUCUGGGGUGUUAGUAACACACUACCCCAGACUGAGUAGUUUAUAAAGAAAAUGUGUUUAUUUUGCCUGAUGGUUCCCUGUCCAAGGUUGUGGGGUCACAACAGAUGAUGACAUUUUGGUCAGCAGAGUGCUGAAGUGGCCCAGGACAUUACAUGGGAAGAGGAAAGGGAGUAGGUGAGCGUCAUCUAUCUUCUGGUCUUUCUCUCUUCUUAUAAAGCCACCAACCUCCAGUCAUGGAACUUUCACCCUGAUGAAUUCAUCUAAUCCUAAUCAUUUCUGUUGGUUUCCACUUAUAGACACCAUAAUAAGAUUAAGUUUCCACUCUCUUAAUACCUCACUGUGGAGCCCAGUCUCCAACAUGAGUUUGAGAGGGAUCUACCACAGUCCAACCAUAAUACUAGAUUUAGAAUAAUUAACAUACAGAAGUAUGUAUAGCUAUUAAUGAAUGCUGAUUUGUUUGAAUAAAUGGAAAUAUUAAAUUGUUUCCUGAGAGAUGAUUUAUUUAUAUAUUUUACAUAUGUAUUUUGCUCCUAAAUCAGUAUUCUCAAGGAUAUAUUAAGUGACAAAUCUCAUAGAAAAUAUAUUUUUCUAGGAAAAAUAGCUAUUUGUACUUUAAAGAUGAGAUUAUGUAGAAUACCUUGUGGGAGGAAAUGAAGCAUUGCAUUACCAAGAAAAUAAUGCUCUGUUAAGAUCCAAAUGUGUCAGCUUAGUUACCCUGACUAAUUUUACAGGAGUUUAAUGUACUACUAAAGCAUUGAAAUCUGUGAAAUAACUCCAGUAACUUGGUUUUUAAGUGAAAACUGUAUUAAAGGAAGAAGUUUACUUUCUAAGCUUGUGAUAAUAGAGUAAGUAAUGUAAAACUAAUUGCAAAGGUAGCACCAAAUGACACAGACAAUAUUCAGACAAGAGGAAAAAAUAUAUACAUAUAUUUAGACUUUUAUCUUCAUUGUCCAAUUUUGUUGCUAACAAUCAUCAGACAAGGAUGGCCUAUCUCUGUAGAAUUCAAAAUAUUAAAAAAUUGAAUUCUAUUUGGAAUGAAAAGUAAAACAGUUCACAGGUGUGUAGUUUUUUCCCUAGUGAAUUGUAACACAGCUUUCUAAAGUUGAUCCACUGAGGGUGGAGAAUGGAGUAAUAAACCAAGCAAUGAAUAGUCAAGCUGUAUAACCUUCUGUCUAUAUGGGGGGAAAAGUCACACUAUGCAAUGCUUUUGCUAUAUUUUUUUUAAAAGAGCUUCUAUUUAGUGAGGAUUGCUGUGGAAGUCAAUAACAUAGAUCAUUUAACUAGUUAAUGUAUAACAUGUUAACAUGGCAAAAGAAUGACUAGUGCAUGUGUUAGAUUCAUUCCUCAAGAAAAGUUUGAAAACACCCCAUUUCGAUAUGUCAUGUUAUCAUUCUGCAGUUUGUGCGGUGGGAAAACAGAAAAACUUCAGAAUCCAAAACAGCUCUCUGAGCCUUUUUAAAAAUCAAAGUCUUAAUCCCACUCGUGAGUAUUCCACUCUCAUCAUGAUCUCAUCACCUUUCAAAUGCCCUACUCUCUAAUACUACCAAAGUGAUGGUUAGUUUUUAAACACAGGAAUUUUAGAAGGACACAGCAUUCAGGCAGUAACUGCUCACCUUGAAUAAUUGAAUCACAUUUAGGACAUUUAUGCUAUCCAGUUUGAACAAACAGGAAAGUAACAGAGGGAUCUAAGAAAGUCUGGUUAGGCUGAAAAACAUACAAUGGCUACAGUCUUAUUAUUUCUUGCCUGCUAAUGUGCAGUAAGAUUAAGGUCUAAGAAAUAAUUUUGUUAUUCAAAGUAUACUUUUGUAGUUAUUUCUAUAUGUAAAAGAAAAUAUCAAGUAACUUGAACGCACUUUCCAUUCUAAGAUUCAUAUAUAUAUAUAUAUAUAUAUAUAUAUAUAUAUCCCCAAUACCUUCUUGAUAUGAGAACUCAGCUCUCAACAUUUUACACACAUAUAAUAAUAUUUCAUCUAAGACUUUAUUUAGAUAAUUUGGCAAGUGAUUAGUUAACCUAAAAUCCAAGUAAUAAUUUAAAGUGGGGUAGUAAAUAUUUUAUCACUUUUUAAUGCUAACUAACAUUUACUUUUCUAUGGUUUUGGUUUUAAAUGAGUUCAUUAUAAAUGCAUGUUAGUGGACAGUUAUUUAGCCAUUAAAAUAAUGAUCAACAUAAUAGAUUAGAAAAGGGUUUAAGAUGUAAUAAUAAAUAGAAUAAAAUAAGUAAUGUAUAUCAAAUAGGAUUGGAGCUUUGGAAAGCUACGAUUUACUUUUAAAACUAAGAAAAUAUCAAAAAAUUAACAGUAUGCAUCUGUUAUGUCAGAAUUUCUGUUUUAUCUUUUUCUAUUUAUGUAUAAUAUAUAAUAAGUUAGCACCUAACAUAACACAUGAAAUAUAUAUAACACAUAUUUUAGAAAAUAAAACAUACGUUAGACCAAUAUAUUGAUAAGGGCCGGGAUUUAGCUCAGUGGUUUUGCCACCUGCCUUACAAGUGCAAGGACCCGAGUUUGAUCCCUGGUACCAAAAAAAAAAAAAAAAAAAGAGAGAGAGAGAAAACAAAAAAGUGCUUAAAUAUAUAGAUAAUAGAGAUAGACUAAGUGAAUUUAAAUAGUAAUUUCCCUUCAGCAAGUUGUCUCAUCUGUCUGUAUUUCCAUUUCAUCAUCUAUAAAAUGGAUAUACUUAGAAUCUUCAUGUGUGGGUUAAGAUAGUAGGUAAUCAACAUAUUAGUUAUUAGGAUUACAUUUAUCAAUCAAAGCAUUCUAAACAUUGAGGAAAAUCUGCUGGGGAUGGGAUACACUCCUGUAAUCCCAGCACUCAGGAGGCUGAGGCAGGAGACUGCUGCAAAUUUGAGGCCACCCUGGGCUACAUAGUGAGUUCAAGGCUGAACUACAUAGGAAGACUAUAUCAAAAAAAAAAAAAAAAAAAAACACAAAGAAGAGGAGAGGAGGAGGAAGAAGAGGAAGAAGAACAAAAGAGGAAGAGGAAGAAAGGGAAGAAGAAGGCAAAGAAGAAGAAGAAGAAGAAGAAGAAGAAGAAGAAGAAGAAGAAGAAGAAGAAGAAGAAGAGGAAGAAGAAGAAGAAAAAGAAGAGGAAGAAGAAGAAGAAAUGGAGGAAAAUCUAAUAGUGGUCUUCAAAAACACAGUUAAAACCUGAAAUUUAAUGUAUAAGAUGCAGAGUAAUACCUUAUACACUGGGAUGACUUAUAUAAUAUCCUUAACUAUUUAGAACAUAG
rnacentral:lncRNA from 1 species